rnacentral:lncRNA from 1 species
ACUCAAACCAGCUAUAUUAAGGAAGGUGCAAGCUUUUGAGAUUUCUGUUUAGAUUUAGUUUAGGUUCAAAAUAGCACGCACAGAUCCUGAGUGUUGUCAAACACUUGCGACUGGGGAACGGAGGCGUCCGAUCCGUAUUGGAGUCAAUUCGCCACUUAAUUGAACACAGCCUUGAAGGGAAGGGCCAUAUUUGUGGACCUGUCCAACAAUGAGACCACAUGGAAUGGGGGAUGAAAGGGUUAAAGGAAGAACAAAUAUUAAAAACAGCUUUUCUAUGAACAAACUACAGACAGCUGCGGCUUUGCAAGGGGAACUUCUUGGCUGCCAUUUCCGGAUUCCAAGGCCACAGAAACAGUGUUCAGGACCCUGGAUAGAGAGAGAGGCUUCAGAAUGUGGCUCCUUUCAGAAAUGCUUCUCCAGAGGUUGGUGAGGUCAGCUGACUGGAAGACAGAUCUAUUUGAAGAUUUCUGUGGUGGUCUUUACUACUCCAGAGAUUUACAGCUGAUGAAAAAUGGAGAAGUACAUGACCCUACCCUCCUGUUGGACAUGGUACCCAAAGAUUCACAUCUGUCAACUUGUCAGCGUCACUAUAGUUUAUUUAAUAAAUGUGUAGCACUGCUUCAAUAUACCUGGAAUCAUAAAAUGUUAGAGAACAAACCUUAAAAUACAU